UUCCGGUUGAUCCUGCGGGACCCGACUGCUAUCAGAGUGGGACUAAGCCAUGCGAGUCAACAUAGCAAUAUGUGGCAUACGGCUCAGUAACACGUAGUCAACAUGCCCAGGGGACGUGGAUAACCUCGGGAAACUGAGGAUAAACCGCGAUAGGUCAUCACUUCUGGAAUGGGUAAUGACUUAAAUCUAUAUGGCCCCUGGAUUGGACUGCGGCCGAUCAGGCUGUUGGUGAGGUAAUGGCCCACCAAACCUGUAACCGGUACGGGCUCUGAGAGGAGGAGCCCGGAGAUGGGCACUGAGACAAGGGCCCAGGCCCUAUGGGGCGCAGCAGGCGCGAAACCUCUGCAAUAGGCGAAAGCUUGACAGGGUUACUCUGAGUGAUUUCCGUUAAGGAGAUCUUUUGGCACCUCUAAAAAUGGUGCAGAAUAAGGGGUGGGCAAGUCUGGUGUCAGCCGCCGCGGUAAUACCAGCACCCCGAGUGGUCGGGACGUUUAUUGGGCCUAAAGCAUCCGUAGCCGGUUCUACAAGUCUUCCGUUAAAUCCACCUGCUUAACAGAUGGGCUGCGGAAGAUACUAUAGAGCUAGGAGGCGGGAGAGGCAAGCGGUACUCGAUGGGUAGGGGUAAAAUCCGUUGAUCCAUUGAAGACCACCAGUGGCGAAGGCGGCUUGCCAGAACGCGCUCGACGGUGAGGGAUGAAAGCUGGGGGAGCAAACCGGAUUAGAUACCCGGGUAGUCCCAGCUGUAAACGAUGCAGACUCGGUGAUGAGUUGGCUUAUUGCUAACUCAGUGCCGCAGGGAAGCCGUUAAGUUUGCCGCCUGGGGAGUACGGUCGCAAGACUGAAACUUAAAGGAAUUGGCGGGGGAGCA
rnacentral:rRNA from 1 species